rnacentral:rRNA from 1 species
GAUGAACGCUAGCUACAGGCUUAACACAUGCAAGUCGAGGGGCAGCAUGGAGUUUUCUUCGGAAGACUUUGAUGGCGACCGGCGCACGGGUGAGUAACGCGUAUCGAACCUGUCUCAUACUCGGGAAUAGCCUUGCGAAAGUAAGAUUAAUGCCCGAUGUUCUUGGUGUUCCGCAUGAGGCGCCAAGCAAAGAUUCAUUGGUAUGAGAUGGCGAUGCGUCCCAUUAGCUUGUUGGCGGGGUAACGGCCCACCAAGGCAUCGAUGGGUAGGGGUUCUGAGAGGAAGGUCCCCCACAUCGGAACUGAGACACGGUCCAAACUCCUACGGGAGGCAGCAGUGAGGAAUAUUGGUCAAUGGACGGAAGUCUGAACCAGCCAAGUAGCGUGCAGGAUGACGGCCCUCCGGGUUGUAAACUGCUUUUAGUUGGGAAUAAAACGCGGGACGUGUCCCGCCUUGUAUGUACCAUCAGAAAAAGGACCGGCUAAUUCCGUGCCAGCCGCCGCGGUAA